GGCAUGGCCACGGCAUAACCACGGAGCAGCGGUGGAGCCGCGCGCGCGCGCGCUCGGGGCGGCAGCGCAAGGCGCCCGGUGCCUUGCUGCAGGUUUUUGGGGGGUGCCAGAAACGUGGAUGUGUCUGUCGGCGAGACCUUCAGAAGGACAAAACGUCACCGUGAUCUCCGCUACUGAGAGCUGCCCCGCGGUCGGUGUCACAGGAUUUCCGCCAGCUUGUGCUUAUCUUCUAGAUGAAUCUCCCAGGGAGAAAAAGUGCGACAGGGACACACAGGUUUCUAUGUGGAUUCCAAGGAAGUCACAAUGUGAGGGCCCACGAGUGAGCAGAUUAGUUUCAGCUGCCAUUCCAGUCUUGCCUGAGAUGGAGAGGUCCAGGGUUUGUCCUGUGAGGUCACACGGAAGAAAGAAGGAAGCAGAGAUGGCCACAAAGGAGUACUCACUGAAACAGAACAACUUCAAAACUGCUGAUUCCUAGAAGGGCUAACAGUUGCUCUGUGGGAAGGCAUCUUCACAUGACACAUAAUUAGACUGUGGAGGUCUUUGCCACUAGAUUAUGUUGGAACCAAAACUCAGCAAGAGAGAGAGAAGCAGCCCUCUUCGUCUGGCUAAUUAAGGUAAUCAGAUUCAUAACAGUUUAUGCUAAACAUAUUUUUUGCAGAAGAUAUAAAAACUCACGGAAUCAAG
rnacentral:lncRNA from 1 species